AGAGUUUGAUCCUGGCUCAGAUUGAACGCUGGCGGAAUGCUUUACACAUGCAAGUCGAGCGGCAGCGCGGGGCAACCUGGCGGCGAGCGGCGAACGGGUGAGUAAUAUAUCGGAACGUAUCCUUAAGUGGGGGACAACCUAGCGAAAGUUAGGCUAAUACCGCAUACGCAGGGAACUGGAAAGUGGGGGAUCGCAAGACCUCACGCUUUUGGAGCGGCCGAUAUCAGAUUAGCUUGUUGGUGAGGUAAAGGCUCACCAAGGCGACGAUCUGUAGCUGGUCUGAGAGGAUGAUCAGCCACACUGGGACUGAGACACGGCCCAGACUCCUACGGGAGGCAGCAGUGGGGAAUUUUGGACAAUGGGGGCAACCCUGAUCCAGCCAUUCCGCGUGAGUGAAGAAGGCCUUCGGGUUGUAAAGCUCUUUUGUUCGGGACGAAACGGUUAAGGUUAAUAACCUUGACUAAUGACGGUACCGGAAGAAUAAGCACCGGCUAACUACGUGCCAGCAGCCGCGGUAAUACGUAGGGUGCGAGCGUUAAUCGGAAUUACUGGGCGUAAAGCGUGCGCAGGCGGUUUUAUAAGCCA
rnacentral:rRNA from 1 species